CUUACAGCUGUGAAGAUGCCAGGAUUUGUUUGGAGCUCUACAGCAGGGGGCCCAAAUUCCUCCAGGAAGUGUGAGGCCUGGUUGGCAGUGCCAGGACUACACUGAGUAUGCCCAGUGUGGGACACAGGCAGUGGGCAUCACGCCAACCCAUGCUGAGCCUCCAAGCUGUCUGCACUCCCUCACUGCUGUGGCAGUAUGAUGAAAGAAAUACAUUUACAUUAAUCAUGUCGCCAUGCUUCUCCAAGGACUCUCCAUUCCUGUUGUCCCUCUCUCCAUAAAAAAAACACACCAGAGAAAUGGCUAA